CAGAAUGGAUGGCUUGGCGGAAGAAAUAUUAAGCAUGUCACAAUGUUUUGUACUCUAUCUUGUGAAAUGGAGACAAAAACCUCAAACAACUACAUUGAAUAAAUGUUGGCUAAAAAUGAUGGCUAUGGAACUAAUUAGAAAAAGAUCUCCAACACCCAAAAGGAAAAGACGUAAAUAAUGAGGGAAUUUCUGAAUUGAGGACGCAUGGAGUCACUGACUCCCCGUGACUGGAUGAAAGCUGGGAUGCUUUUGUCUGGACACGUGGUACAGGAGAGCUCUGGCAUUAGUAUACCCCUCAAGGAAGGGUUAACUAUAGGGUUUGAAAAUCUCUUUGCAUCCAGCAAGCAACAACAUAACAUAUGGGUGAGCUGGUCACAGUAACAAAUACUUUUUCUUACAUUACCACUUCACAAGAAGCUUCUGAAAGAAAGCUUCAACUUCACACAGUCUUAACUUCAAGAAAAAGAGGAAUGGAAUUUUUCACAGCCUUACAUCGCCUGAGAAGCUACUCAGAAUGAAAUGUCACAGUUCUCCUUAGCACAAAAGCAAAUGUGGGAUAUAAUUGUUUGU